AGCUUUGCACAGUGGCAGUAUCGUAGCCAAUGAGGUUUAUCCGAGGCGCGAUUAUUGCUAAUUGAAGUUUACACCAUUUAGUAUUCUUGCCUUUGGAUGCAGUAAGGGAGUUGAAGUCUGCUUAUAUGCAGAGUUUUUUUUUAC